rnacentral:rRNA from 1 species
GACGAACGCUGGCGGCGCGCUUAACACAUGCAAGUCGAACGGAAAGGCCCUGCUUUUGUGGGGUGCUCGAGUGGCGAACGGGUGAGUAACACGUGAGUAACCUGCCCUUGACUUUGGGAUAACUUCAGGAAACUGGGGCUAAUACCGGAUAGGAGCUCCUGCUGCAUGGUGGGGGUUGGAAAGUUUCGGCGGUUGGGGAUGGACUCGCGGCUUAUCAGCUUGUUGGUGGGGUAGUGGCUUACCAAGGCUUUGACGGGUAGCCGGCCUGAGGGGGUGACCGGCCACAUUGGGACUGAGAUACGGCCCAGACUCCUACGGGAGGCAGCAGUGGGGAAUAUUGCACAAUGGGCGGAAGCCUGAUGCAGCAACGCCGCGUGCGGGAUGACGGCCUUCGGGUUGUAAACCGCUUUCGCCUGUGACGAAGCGUGAGUGACGGUAAUGGGUAAAGAAGCACCGGCUAACUACGUG